GCGGACGUGGCGGAAUUGGCAGACGCGUCAGGCUCAGGACCUGAUGACCCGUUAACGGUCGUGGAGGUUCAAGUCCUCUCGUCCGCA
rnacentral:tRNA from 1 species